AGCUGCAUUAUUAAUAGCCACAUAUUUACACACUGUAAGCAGCUCUAAUUUUAACCCUGCACAGCUAUUCCGGUUUGGAGAGGUGACCAAUGCAAGUCAUUACAGCGCCAGGAGGCAUUAAGUCUGACCGGCUGCAGCAGGAAAAAGAUGAAGACAACACAAGCACAGAGACAAACAGGGGAGGACAGACAGAGAGACAGAGAACCAGGCCUACCGGUGCUGGACACACAGGCGGGGAUGGGAGGCUCGGUGCCCGGCUCCGGCAGCAGUGGACCAGACUGUCACCAUGCAGAUAUUUUAAAGGAGACUCCCUCAGCAGCACACAGGGUUUUCCCAUUUAAAGCCACCACGUCAAGUCAGCCGGUGCACAGGGCAGCACAUCCGCUUCCGGUUUUCAAAGUAAAAGCACCGCAGAUAAGAAGAAGAAAAUCCUUGAAUUGACGAUUUGGAGGGAAUUGAUUGGAAGAGAAGCGCAAAAGGAGAAAUCGAGCAAUGCUUCACAGUGUGUUGACAUCUUACUGGUUCAUAAUGCAAGUGCAAUGCAAAGUGGAAGAAAAAACCCAACAGCUGCUUCAGUUUUUCUCCGCCUUUCCCCCGGGCCCAGCGUCGGACCGAGGCUUCUAGUCCUUCUUCUUAGGCUCGGUGAGAAGAAUGACUUUCCCAAUGUUCUGGCGCUCGUGCAUGCGCCUCAUGGCGUCAGCGACCUGAACAGAGACAGGAUGUGAACCCAAGAUUUACAUGUAAGGUAACUGACCUCCUCGAAGUGAUGGCAGGAGUCGAUGCGGGGCUUGAUCUUGCCCUGCCUGUAGAGCUCCAGCAGCUCCGACAUGGUCCUGUUGAUGAGCUCGUCGUCCUCCAGGUAGCCCAGGUGGAAGCCGCCGAUGGCCUUGUUGGUCUGCAUCAGUUUCAAGGCGCUGAUGGAGAGCUGGUUGUACCAGAGCUUCAUCAGCGCCAUCAGGUUCCUCUUCGGGCCCGUCACACCAUUGGCUGCGCCUGGAAUGCCAAACAAUAAAUCAGAACAGGAAUCAGACACAGAGAAGGAAACAAGUGGAGUCUUCCCACCCCGAAAAUACCUGCACAUUCCAAAUUAAAGGAGACAUAUGAUGCUUAGUUUAAUUGCCUUUUUUGGCCUCAACUCACCGGAUGUUAUUUUGGGAUGUGUGCACUUUUAACACAACCUCAGGGCACAACUAGUAUAAAUGGAAAAGGAGCCACAGGAUGUGCAUAAAGAAAUGUCAAUAAAACUGUGACCUUGGAAUUUCAAUUAAACUUAA